rnacentral:piRNA from 1 species
CAUGGGAUUAGAUGGAAAAGAAGUGGAUU